rnacentral:rRNA from 1 species
GUGCAGCAGGCGCGAAUUUUUCUCAAUGGGGGCAACCCUGAAGGAGCGACGCCGCGUGGAGGAUGAAGGCUUUCGGGUUGUAAACUCCUGUCAUUUGAGAACAAGUGUAGCCAAGUAACUACUGGCUACUUGAUAGUAUCAGAAGAGGAAGGGACGGCUAACUCUGUGCCAGCAGCCGCGGUAAUACAGAGGUCCCAAGCGUUGUUCGGAUUCAUUGGGCGUAAAGGGUGCGUAGGCAGCGUGGUAAGUCGGGUGUGAAAUUUCGGAGCUUAACUUCGAAACUGCAUUCGAUACGUGCCGUGCUUGAGGACUGGAGAGGAGACU